UUCCAUAGACCUAAUAAGAUUACUUAUUUAAAAUAAAAAAAUAGUAAGCAUAAAUGAAUAUGGUCAAGUAAAAGUAAACUUGGCUCUGAUUUUAUGUAUGGCGCUUGCUAAAGGAUACACAUGGUUUUUUUAGAAAGAGAUGAGGCGGGAAAUAUAGAUAUUGAUGAUUAACAGAAAGUUAUAAAGAUGCGGUUUUCUGGAACGUUAUUGUAAACACGAUGUUCUGAAAUGCCCAUUAACACCAGUGUUGAAGAUUAAGAAAAGAGCGAGAGCUUGUAUUAGUUUAGUAAAUAAAAUUUGGUUAAUUUGGUGCCAGCAUCCGCGGUUAAACCAAGAAAUUUAGUCAUUCUUUUAUGGUAAAAAGACAGUUAGGCAAUGAGAAAGACAGGAUUAUUAGAUCUUUAGUAGAGGAGUAAAACCUAUAUACUGAAAGUUAUUCCUAAAAUAAUUUGUUUGAGAAUGUUGAAUCUGUGAUAGCUUUAAGGGAAACUGGGAUUGGAUACCCCAUUAUUUUUAGUCGUAAAUUUAGUUUAGGCUUACCGGAGUACUACGAAUAAAAAGUUUAAAACUCAAAGGGCUUGGCGGUGUUUUAGACCCCUCAGGGGAACCUGUCUCAUAAUCGACAAUCCACGUUAAACCUAACCUUUUAUAGUAAUACAGCUUGUAUACCGUCGUCGUCAGGUAACUUCUUAAAAUAAAGUAGUUAGCUUGAGAAUUUGAUUAAUUAGAACGUCAGAUCAAGGUGCAGCUAAUGAAAGGGUGAGGAUGGGUUACAAUUACAUAUUUGUAAAUACGGAAAACACUUGAAAUUAAGUGCUUAAAGGAGGACUUGAAAGUAAUUCUAUUUAUAUAAAUAGAAUGAAUAGGGCUCUGAAACGUGCACACAUCGCCCGUCGCUCUCGUUGAAAAAUGAGAUAAGUCGUAACAUAGUAGGGGUAAUGGAAAUUGUUCCUAGGCUG
rnacentral:rRNA from 1 species